rnacentral:rRNA from 1 species
UACGAAGGGGGCGAGCGUUGUUCGGAUUUACUGGGCGUAAAGGGCGCGCAGGCGGCUCUACAAGUCAGGCGUGAAAGCCCCGGGCUUAACCUGGGAACUGCGUUUGGGACUGUGGGGCUAGAGAUCGGGAGAGGAGAGUGGAAUUCCCAGUGUAGAGGUGAAAUGCGUAGAGAUGUGGAGGAACACCGAUGGCGAAGGCAGCCUCCUGGGUCAAUAUUGACGCUCAGGCACGAAAGCGUGGGGAGCAAACAGG